UACAGAGGGUGCAAGCGUUGCUCGGAAUUAUUGGGCGUAAAGGGUAGGUAGGUGGUCUCGUUUGUCUGAGGUGAAAGCCCUGGGCUUAACCUAGGAAGUGCCUCGGAAACGGCGAGACUGGAGUGCUGGAGAGGGUCGUGGAAUUCCCGGUGUAGCGGUGAAAUGCGUAGAGAUCGGGAGGAAUACCAGAGGCGAAGGCGACGACCUGGACAGGAACUGACACUCAACUACGAAAGCGUGGGGAGCAAACAGG
rnacentral:rRNA from 1 species